rnacentral:rRNA from 1 species
CUAAUACCGCACUACGCCCGUAGGAGGGGAAGGGGGGGAUCGCAAGACCUCUCGCUACAGGAGCGGCCGAUGUCCGAUUAGCUAGUUGGCGAGGUAAAGGCUCACCAAGGCGACGAUCGGUAGCUGGUCUGAGAGGAUGAUCAGCCACACUGGGACUGAGACACGGCCCAGACUCCUACGGGAGGCAGCAGGUGGGGUAAUUUUGGACAAUGGGGGCAACCCUGAUCCAGCCAUUCCGCGUGAGUGAAGAAGGCCUUCGGGUUGUAAAGCUCUUUCAGCCGGGAAGAAAUCGUCUUGGAUAAUACCUGAGGCGGAUGACGGUACCGGAAGAAGAAGCACCGGCUAACUACGUG